GGGAUAUCCUGGGUUCUCCAAAAUACCAUUGGCUCUUUAAUCCCUAAAUUUAGUGUAUUUAGAUCUUCUUGUUCUCUAAUUGGAAGUCGUAAGCUGUCUACCAGGUAUUUGCAGAAGUGUCCCUCACACAUGUGCAUGUAAAAAUUGCAGGUAGGGAGGAAGUCCUCCUUAGGUUGUGAACUGAGAUUCUCUCUCAUUUUUAACUGGU
rnacentral:misc_RNA from 1 species